rnacentral:tRNA from 1 species
GGCUCUGUAGCAGAAUUUGGUAUAUGCGCUGGUCUCAAAAACCGGGUCAAUGCGGGUUCGAGUCCCGUCAGGGCUAC